ACACACACUCUCUCUCUCUCUCUCUAUCUCUCUCUCUCUCUCUCUCUCUCUCUCUCUCUCUCUCUCUCUCUCUCUCUCUCUCUAUCUAUCUAUCUAUCUAUCAUCUGUUCAUCCGUCUGUCUGUCUAUCUGUCUGUCUGUCGUCCAUCUAUCUAUCUAUCUGUCUGUUUGUUGUCCAUUUAUCCACCUGUCUGGCUGUCUAUCUAUUUGUCUGUCUGUCUGUCUAUCCUCCGUUUGUCCACCUGUCUGUCCGUCUGUUUGUCGUCCGUUUAUCUAUCUGUUUAUCUAUCUGUCUGUCUGUCUGUCGUACGUUUAUCUAUCUAUCUAUCUGUCUGUCUGUCGUCCGUUUAUCUAUCUAUCUAUCUAUCUAUCUAUCUAUCUAUCUAUCUAUCUAUCUAUCUGUCUGUCGUCUGUUUAUCUAUCUAUCUAUCUAUCUAUCUAUCUAUCUAUCGGUCUGUCUGUCUGUCUGUCGUCCGUUUAUUUAUCUAUCUGGCUGUCUGUCUGUCAUCCGUUUAUCUCUCUAUCUAUCUAUCGAUCUGGCUGUCUGUCUGUCUGUCUGUCUGUUUAUCUAUCUUUCUGGCUGUCUGUCUCUCAUCCGUUUAUCUAUCUAACUAUCUAUCUGUCUGUCUGUCUGUCUGUCGUUCAUCUCUCUAUCUAUCUAUCUAUCUAUCUAUCUAUCGGUCUGUCUGUCGUCCGUUUAUCUAUCUGUCUGUCUGUCUGUCGUACGUUUAUCUUUCUAUCUAUCUGUCUGUCUGUCUGUCUAUCUUCCGUUUGUCCACCUGUCUGUCCGUCUGUCUGUCUAUCUAUCUAUCUAUCUAUCUAUCGGUCUGUCUGUCUCUCAUCCGUCUAUCUAUCUUUCUCUCUAUCUCUCUAUCUGUCUGUCUGUCUGUCUGUCUGCUGUCCGUUUAUCUAUCUAUCUGUCUGUCUGUCUAUCUGUCUGUCGGUCUGUCUAUCUAUCUAUCUAUCUAUCUAUCGGUCUGUCUGUCGUCCGUUUAUCUAUCUGUCUGUCUGGCUGUCUGUCUGCUGUCCGUUUAUCUAUCUAUCUAUCUUUCUAUCUAUCUAUCUAUCUAUCUGUCUGUCUGUCUCUCAUCCGUCUAUCUAUCUUUCUCUCUAUCUCUCUAUCUGUCUGUCUGUCUGUCUGUCUGCCGUCCGUUUAUCUAUCUAUCUGGCUGUCUGUCUGUCUUUCUGUCGUCCGUUUAUCUAUCUAUCUGGCUUUUUGUCUCUCUCAUCCCUUUAUCUAUCUAUCUAUCUAUCUAACUAUCUAUCUAUCUGUCUGUCUGUCUGUCUAUCUUCCGUUUGUCCACCUGUCUGUCCGUCUGUUUGUCGUCCGUUUGUCUAUCUGUUUAUCUAUCUGUCUGUCUGUCUGUCUGUCGUUCAUCUCUCUAUCUAUCUAUCUAUCUAUCUAUCUCUCUAUCUAUCGUUCUGUCUGUCUCUCAGCCGUCUAUCUCUCUAUCUAUCUGUCUAUCUAUCUGUCUGUCUGUCGUCUGUUUAUCUAUCUAUCUAUCUAUCUAUCUCUCUAUCUAUCGUUCUGUCUGUCUCUCAGCCGUCUAUCUCUCUAUCUAUCUGUCUAUCUAUCUGUCUGUCUGUCUGUCUAUCUUCCGUUUGUCCACCUGUCUGUCCGUCUGUCUGUCUAUCUAUCUAUCUAUCUAUCUAUCUUUCUAUCUAUCUGUCUGUCUGUCUGUCUAUCUUCCGUUUGUCCACCUGUCUGUCCGUCUGUUUGUCGUCCGUUUGUCUAUCUGUUUAUCUAUCUGUCUGUCUGUCUGUCGUACGUUUAUCUAUCUAUCUAUCUGUCUGUCUGUCUCUCAUCCGUCUAUCUAUCUUUCUCUCUAUCUCUCUAUCUGUCUGUCUGUCUGUCUGUCUGCUGUCCGUUUAUCUAUCUAUCUAUCUUUCUAUCUAUCUAUCUAUCUAUCUGUCUGUCUGUCGUCCGUUUAUUUAUCUAUCUGGCUGUCUGUCUGUCAUCCGUUUAUCUCUCUAUCUAUCUAUCGAUCUGGCUGUCUGUCUGUCUGUCUGUCUGUCGUCCAUUUAUCUAUCUAUCUGGCUUUCUGUCUCUCAUCCGUUUAUCUAUCUAUCUAUCUCUCUGUCUGUUUUUCUGUCUGUCGUCUGUUUAUCUAUCUAUCUAUCUAUCUAUCUAUCUAUCUAUCUAUUUGUGCAUAUGUCUAUAUGUCUAUAUGCCAUCUAUCUGUUAACACACACAAUCGCACACUUCUCCAAACAGAAAGUUACAAGUCUGCAAUCAAACUCAAUCUCGACUGUUUGCCGAAGCGCAGGUCUCACGGUUACACAAACACAAGUCCAUGCAAACACACACAGUUGUACAUGUGAGAUGUGGCAUGCAUCCAAUGCAGAGGCGCUUCACGCUGACAGGCAAACAGAUAUAAUGAACUGA
ensembl:lncRNA